UACAGAGGGGGCAAGCGUUGUUCGGAAUUACUGGGCGUAAAGGGCGCGUAGGCGGCCGCCUAAGUCAGACGUGAAAUCCCUCGGCUCAACCGGGGAACUGCGUCUGAUACUGGGUGGCUUGAAUCCGGGAGAGGGAUGCGGAAUUCCAGGUGUAGCGGUGAAAUGCGUAGAUAUCAGGAGGAACACCUGCGGUGUAGACGGCUUACUGGACCAUAACUGACGCUGAGGCACGAAAGCGUGGGCAGCAAACAGG
rnacentral:rRNA from 1 species